rnacentral:lncRNA from 1 species
GCCUUCACUCUCUUUGCUAGGACAAAAAGAAUAAGAAAACAGACACUCGUGCUCUUUCCUUUUUCUUCUUUCCUCUGAAACCCAUCCCCAUGCUUUUCCUUACUGACCAGAUAUUCAGGUUGAGCGUGUCGAAGAGUAGAGUAGGCGAAGGUUGCCGCCAUCGUCUCACUAGAGUCUAGCCACUACAGUGGAAAUCAUCACUGUAAAGUUUCCCGCACUCUUAUACCUCUUUUUCCCCCUUAAUUGUAUUGUUUUCUUCUUUGUCUGCAAUCAUGUCGGUUAUGCUUUACUUUCGUCUUGUUAAUUGAUUUUAAGUGGCUAGAAUUGAUCAUAGGUUUGAGUAGAGUUUUAGAUUUAAAAUUCUAGCUCAGGCCGUAUAAGGAAUUGAUGAAAAAGAAAUUUCAAAACUUUUCAUGCUCACUACCUGUUUGUCGGAAGGUUUUAAUGAAGAAAGAAGGAAAUAUACAAGGAAGCGAACAGAGAGAUGAGAGUGAUUGGAGAGUGAUGAGAGUGAAUAAUUACUGCUAUGAUAUGACUACUAUGAAUCUCAUUCUAUCUUUUAUUAAUUCACUCCAAUUUGUGCUGAAAGAGAAAAUUUGUGUGUUUAUACAUGAGGUAGCAGGUCCAUUGAAUACAACUUGGAACUCC